UGAGUACGAGAUGCUACGGCAUCGAAGCAGUCUAUGUCAUACUUCCAAGAAAAGCUUGCAAUGUCAUAAACAAAUAAUGCCUGUACCAUAACCGACACAGGUGGGUAGGUAGAGUAUACUAAGGGGCGCGAGAUAACUCUCUCUAAGGAACUCGGCAAAAUGACUCCGUAACUUCGGGAGAAGGAGUGCCUUAUUUUUAUAAGGUUGCAAUAACAAGAUCCAAGCAACUGUUUACCAAAAACACAGGUCUCCGCUAAGUCGUAAGACGAUGUAUGGGGGCUGACGCCUGCCCAGUGCCAGAAGGUUAAAGAAGUUGGUUAGCAUUAGCGAAGCUGAUAACUGAAGCCCUGGUGAACGGCGGCCGUAACAAUAACGGUCCUAAGGUAGCGAAAUUCCUUGUCGGGUAAGUUCCGACCCGCACGAAAGGCGUAAUGAUUUGGAUACUGUCUCGGAGAGGGGCUCGGUGAAAUAGACUUGUCUGUGAAGAUGUGGACUACCUGCACCUGGACAGAAAGACCCUAUGAAGCUUUACUGUAACUUGAGAUUGAAAUUGGACUUUAUCUGCGCAGUAUAGGUGGGAGACGUUGAAAAUAUUCUUGCGGGAAUAUUGGAGUCAUCAGUGAGAUACCACUCUUAUAAUGUUAGAUUUCUAACUUUGUAUCAUUAUCUGGUCAAAGAACAGUUUCAGGCGGGCAGUUUGACUGGGGCGGUUGCCUCCCAAACGGUAACGGAGGCGCACAAAGGUUUCCUCUGAACGUGUAGAAAUCGUAUCUAGAGUGUAAAGGCAUAAGGAAGCUUGACUGUGAGACCUACAAGUCGAGCAGGGACGAAAGUCGGUCUUAGUGAUCUGACGGUGCUGAGUGGAAAGGCCGUCACUCAACGGAUAAAAGUUACUCUAAGGAUAACAGGCUGAUCUCCCCCAAGGUUCACAUCGACGGGGAGGUUUGGCACCUCGAUGUCGGCUCAUCGCAUCCUGGGGCGGUAGUACGUCCCAAGGGUUGGGCUGUUCGCCCAUGAAAGCGGUACGCGAGCUGGGUUCAGAACGUCGUGAGACAGUUCGGUCCAUAUCCGGUGUAGGCGUUAGAAUAUUGAGAGGAGCCUUCUUUAGUACGAGAGGACCGAGAAGGACAUACCUCUGGUGUACCAGUUAUCGUGCCAACGGUAAACGCUGGGUAGCCAUGUAUGGAGAGGAUAACCGCUGAAAGCAUCUAAGUGGGAAGCCCACCUCAAGAUAAG
rnacentral:rRNA from 1 species